CCUGAUAGUGUGCCAAUAUUUGAAGCCUUGAGUUCAGAUGAUACUCAACCAAGGAUAGAAGUUUUAACAACAAUGAUGGUACAUAAAGGAGUUGGCUCAGAUGAAAGCUUUAAAGGAGUGGACAUAAGCGUAGAAGCCAAUAUAGUAGAUAACCUAGAUAACAGCACAUCAGGAGAUUUAUCUUCAACAUCAACUACUGAAACUGAAGACAAAAGUACUCAGAGUUGUCUUGAAGAUCAUGUUAAACAAAAAAAUUCUAAAAUUAGGGCAACUUUGGGAAUGUUAAUGGAGCAA